rnacentral:rRNA from 1 species
CCUACGGGGGGCUGCAGUGGGGAAUAUUGGACAAUGGGGGGAACCCUGAUCCAGCCAUGCCGCGUGUGUGAAGAAGGCCCUCGGGUUGUAAAGCACUUUCAGUGAGGAAGAACGCCUGGUGGUUAAUACCCAUCAGGAAAGACAUCACUCACAGAAGAAGCACCGGCUAACUCCGUGCCAGCAGCCGCGGUAAUACGGAGGGUGCGAGCGUUAAUCGGAAUUACUGGGCGUAAAGCGCGCGUAGGUGGCUUGAUAAGCCGGUUGUGAAAGCCCCGGGCUCAACCUGGGAACGGCAUCCGGACCUGUCAAGCUAGAGUGCAGGAGAGGAAGGUAGAAUUCCCGGUGUAGCGGUGAAAUGCGUAGAGAUCGGGAGGAAUACCAGUGGCGAAGGCGGCCUUCUGGACUGACACUGACACUGAGGUGCGAAAGCGUGGGUAGCAAACAGGAUUAGAUACCCCGGUAGUC